rnacentral:rRNA from 1 species
UCAGCCGGUACUCGCGAAUGCCUCUAGAUUNAAGUUUGAUCAUGGCUCAGGCACCGAACGCUUACGGCGUGCCUAAUACAUGCAAGUCGAGCGAACAGAGAAGGAGCUUGCUCCUUUGACGUUAGCGGCGGACGGGUGAGUAACACGUGGGCAACCUACCUUAUAGUUUGGGAUAACUCCGGGAAACCGGGGCUAAUACCGAAUAAUCUAUUUUACUUCAUGGUGAAAUACUAAAAGACGGUUUCGGCUGUCGCUAUAAGAUGGGCCCGCGGCGCAUUAGCUAGUUGGUGAGGUAACGGCUCACCAAGGCGACGAUGCGUAGCCGACCUGAGAGGGUGAUCGGCCACACUGGGACUAGAUGACUGCGGCCCAGACUACCUACGGGAGGCAGCAGUAGUGGAAUCUUCCACAAUGGGCGAAAGCCUGAUNGGAGCAACGCCGCGUGAGUGAAGAAGGUUUUCGGAUCGUACAAACUCUGUUGUAAGGGAAGAACAAGUACAGUAGUAACUGGACUGUACCUUGACGGUACCUUAUUAGAAAGCCACGGCUAACUACGUGCCAGACAGCCGCNGUAAUACGUAANGUNGGCAAGCGUUGUCCGGAAUUAUGGGCGUAAAGCGCGCAGCAA